GGCUCAGUCGGUAGAGCAUGUGACUCUUAGUCUCAGGGUCGUGGGUUCGAGCCCCAC
rnacentral:tRNA from 1 species